GCAGCGGUGGGUCAGUGGUAGGAUCCUUGCCUUCCACACAGGAGGCCUGGGUUAGAUUCCCGGCCAAUGCA
rnacentral:tRNA from 1 species